CAGUAGCCACGGUAAUACGUAGGUGGCAAGCGUUGUCCGGAUUUAUUGGGCGUAAAGCGAGCGCAGGCGGUUUCUUAAGUCUGAUGUGAAAGCCCCCGGCUCAACCGGGGAGGGUCAUUGGAAACUGGGAAACUUGAGUGCAGAAGAGGAGAGUGGAAUUCCAUGUGUAGCGGUGAAAUGCGUAGAUAUAUGGAGGAACACCAGUGGCGAAGGCGGCUCUCUGGUCUGUAACUGACGCUGAGGCUCGAAAGCGUGGGGAGCAAACAGGAUUAGAUACCCCCGUAGUCCCUGUCUCUUAUAA
rnacentral:rRNA from 1 species